CUUUCCUCUCCUGCAAGCUAAGGUUUUAGAUUUUACUUCCACAAAGGAAAGAGGAUAGAAAGAGGCCCAAUCUUUUCAUUCUGUUGGAGGGAUUUUUGUUGGAAACGCUUGGGAGUAUUUUGUUACUUACAGAAUGCAAUACACUCCAGAAACCAUCCAAUCUUUGUCACAGUGUUUUUUGCAAACCCUAGUGCCGAAUCCGGAGCCGAGAAGACAGGCAGAGGAGUAUCUGAAACAGGCAGCCAAUCAGCCAGGGUAUGGGAUUGCCAUUUUGCGGCUGCUGUCCGAGCAGGCAGUGGAGGAGCAAGUCAGACAGGCAGCCGCCGUAAAUUUCAAGAACUAUGUGAGAUACAGAUGGGCGGUGCAGGAGGCGGAUUCUUCCGAUUACGCCGAAAUACAGGAUCCCGACAAGGAACAAAUCAAAGUGGUUAUUGUGGCAUCCAUGCUGAACGCGCCUCCGCGUGUGCAGAGCCAGCUGAGUGAAGCCCUGGCCAUCAUAAGCAAGCACGAUUUUCCCAAGGCGUGGCAAACCCUGCUGCCGGAACUCGUGUCGAACCUUCAGGCUUCCGCCGACUACAAGGUUAUCAAUGGAGUUCUUCAAACUGCCAACUCGAUUUUCAAGAAGUUUAGGUACCAGUACAAGAGCAACGAUCUCUACGUUGAUCUCAAGUAUUGCCUUGAUGGCUUCGCGGCUCCAUUGCUCGAUAUAUUUCUGCGAACGGGGCAGCUUAUUGUGAGUAAUUCGCAGAAUGGGGCGGUGUUGGGGCAGCUGUUUGAAUGCCAGAGGCUGUGUUGCAGGAUCUUCUUUUCACUAAACUUUCAGGAGCUACCUGAGUUUUUUGAGAACCAUAUGAAGGAAUGGAUGACGGAGUUUCGCACUUACUUGACCACUCCGUACCCCGCAGUGGAGGACAGCCUUGUGGACCAUCUCAGAGCUGCCAUCUGCGAGAACAUCAAUCUUUAUAUGGAAAAGAAUGAAGAGGAGUUCCAGGACUAUCUGAAGGACUUUGCUUCCGCCGUCUGGGGUUUACUUAUGAACAUUUCUACUACGCCUAGUCAUGACCGAUUGGCUGUUACUGCCAUCAAGUUUUUGACAACGGUAAGCAAGAGUGUUCAUCAUGUAUUGUUUAGUGGCAUCGAUGUUUUGCAACAGAUUUGCGAGAGCAUCGUGGUGCCCAAUGUUAUGAUCAGGGAUGAGGACGAGGAGCUGUUUGAGAUGAACCAUGUCGAAUAUAUUAGAAGAGAUAUUGAGGGUAGUGAUCUUGACACAAGAAGGCGAAUUGCCUGCGAGUUAGUGAAAGGGCUCGCAACCCAUUAUAGGGAACAUGUGAUGGGUAUGAUCUCAAUGCAUAUACAGAACAUGCAGGCAAAAUAUGCUGCUAAACCCGCGGAGAACUGGAAGGAGAAGAACUGUGCUAUAUACUUGGUAGUUUCUCUGUCAACUAAACAGGCUGCCGGAACAUCGGUAAGUACAGAUUUGGUCAAUUUUGAACAGUUUGUCAUGUCUAUGAUAAUGCCCGAGUUGCAAAGCGAGGAUGUGAACUCACAAGCAUUGUUGAAGGCGGAUGCUUUGAAGUUUAUCACAACAUUCCGCUACCAAAUUCCCAAGGCCACUGCUCUGAGUCUGAUUCCUCAUUUAAUGAGAUUCCUUUUAUCUGAAUCCAAUGUCGUUCAUUCUUAUGCUGCUAAUUGCAUUGAGAAAAUGCUAAUCAUUAAGGAAGGCAAUCAGUUACGGUAUACUUCAGCAGACAUCAAUCAAUUUGUGCAGCCUCUUAUGACCAAUCUGUUUAAUGCACUUAAAUUGCCAGAAUCCCAAGAGAAUGCAUAUGUAAUGAAGUGUAUAAUGAGGGUUUUGGGAAUUGCACACCUUCCUGGAGAUCUGGCAAUUGGCUGCCUUACAGGUUUAACGACCAUUCUUAAUGAAGUUUGUAAGAAUCCUAAAAAUCCUGUUUUCAAUCAUUAUUUGUUUGAGUCAGUUGCUGGGUUGGUAAGACGAGCCUGUGAAAAAGAGCCAAGUUUGAUUACAAGUUUUGAAGCGAACCUGUUUCCAGUUUUACAAACUAUUAUGGUUCAUGAUGUGACUGAAUUCUUACCAUAUGCGCUUCAACUACUGGCCCAGCUUAUUGAAAUAAAUCGGCCUCCUCUUCCUCCAACUUACAUGCCGGUUUUCCAGCUGCUUCUUUCCCCUGAAACCUGGCAGAAAAAAGCCAACGUUCCUGCUCUUGUAAGGUUAUUGCAGGCCUAUUUAGAAAAGUCUCCCCAAGAAGUGAGUCAAGAAGGGCGACUGAGUCAAGUGCUUGGUAUAUUUAGUAAGCUAAUUUCAGCAAAGAGCACAGAAAGUUCAGGGUUUUACAUACUGAACACCACUAUACAAUUUUUAAGCUAUGAAGCAAUAUCUCCUUAUUUGGGAAACAUCUGGAGUGUACUCUUUCUUCGGCUUCAAGAAGCACAUACUGUUAAAUUCGAUAAGUCAGUUAUAAUUUUCAUGUCUCUCUUUUUGGUUAAGCAUGGUCAUACAAUUCUUAUCGAGUCUAUCAAUGCAGUUCAGCCAGGUAUUUUUCCGGUAAUUGUGGAGCGGUUUUGGGUGCCUACAAUCAAAUCGAUUGUGGGGGUUUAUGAGACAAAGUUGUGCUUAGUUGCAUCGACAAGGCUUUUAUGUGAAUCUCCAAUAUUCUUGGGUGAUUCACACAUUCAGCUCUGGGGGAAAAUGCUUGAUAGCAUUAUGAGUUUGCUUGUGAGACCAGAGGGAGAGAGGGUGGAGGAGGAGGUGGAAAUUCCAGACCUAGAAGAAACUGCAGGAUACGCUCCAGCAUUUGCUCAACUUUACAAUGCUGGAAAGAAAGAGGAGGAUCCAGUUACGGAUGUUAAAGAUCCCAAAGGAUUUCUUGUAUCUUCAUUGGCGAGAAUAUCUGCACAUGCCCCUGGAAAGUAUCCUGGCAUCAUUCAGCAGUCAUUGGAACCAGCCAAUCAAACUGCACUUUCUGAGUUCUGCAGUACUUAUGGGUUUGCUAUUGUCUAGUCAGUGUUGAUGAUAUCAGUGGGAUUGAACAUGUUCUAGAAGAGGAGUGAAGGGAUCAACAAACCGAUUUCUUCCUGUGCAUGGUGCUGUUCCAAAUCAUCUCUGGGCUCUUGCAAAACAUUCCUUAUCAUUUUCUGAAACGUUUCCGAAGUUGGUAUCUCUCGCAUGGUUUUCUCUUCUGUUGAGAUUGUGAAGGAAGGAUGCUGGGUUACAAGUUUCGAGGCACAGCAUUUUGGAAUUAGGACCAUUUUGUUGUGAAAAAAUGUUAUAUUGCGAAAGUAGUGCUGAAGCUUUGCCCAAGAGAAGAAUUUUAUGAAGAAUCCUCAUAGUAUAGUCAUGCAAUUUGGAGUCUUAAGUUUUCAUUAUCAUUUUAUGUGCGAUCAACAUGUGAAGUUGGUCUGUGGCGUUGAUAUUGGGACUUCUAUAUUGUAAAUGUGAAUGUGUACUGUGCAAUAUCUUCUACUCUUCAAAAGGGUGGCAUAAAUAAUGAUUGCGUAACAUCGUUGCCAAAUUUGAGAAUUUUUGAGUCGGACAAUUGAGUUUUGUUAUAGAUUAUAUUGGAACACAUUAAACAAUUUUGCAGUAAACAUACUGUUUGAUUGAAUUUUUCAAAAUAUGUAGAAAGCCGUACACUCCUUUACAAUGUUGAACAUGAGAAGAAUUCUGCAGAGACCUCGUUUCCUGAAAUGCCAGAGAUAUUAUUGUAAAAGGGUGUAUGCAACUUUACAUUAAAAACAUUUAUAGUGUGAAUAUACGUUAUUGUUCCUUUAA